GACGAACGCUGGCGGCGUGCCUAAUACAUGCAAGUCGAACGCUUCUUUCCUCCCGAGUGCUUGCACUCAAUUGGAAAGAGGAGUGGCGGACGGGUGAGUAACACGUGGGUAACCUACCCAUCAGAGGGGGAUAACACUUGGAAACAGGUGCUAAUACCGCAUAACAGUUUAUGCCGCAUGGCAUAAGAGUGAAAGGCGCUUUCGGGUGUCGUUGAUGGAUGGACCCGCGGUGCAUUAGCUAGUUGGUGAGGUAACGGCUCACCAAGGCCACGAUGCAUAGCCGCCCUGAGAGGGUGAUCGGCCACACUGGGACUGAGACACGGCCCAGACUCCUACGGGAGGCAGCAGUAGGGAAUCUUUGGCAAUGGACGAAAGUCUGACCGAGCAACGCCGCGUGAGUGAAGAAGGUUUUCGGAUCGUAAAACUCUGUUGUUAGAGAAGAACAAGGACGUUAGUAACUGAACGUCCCCUGACGGUAUCUAACCAGAAAGCCACGGCUAACUACGUG
rnacentral:rRNA from 1 species